UACGUAGGGUGCAAGCGUUGUCCGGAAUUAUUGGGCGUAAAGAGCUCGUAGGCGGUUUGUCGCGUCUGCUGUGAAAACUCGGGGCUUAACUCCGGGCCUGCAGUGGGUACGGGCAGACUAGAGUGCGGUAGGGGAGACUGGAAUUCCUGGUGUAGCGGUGAAAUGCGCAGAUAUCAGGAGGAACACCAGUGGCGAAGGCGGCGACCUGGACAGAUAUUGACGCUGAGGUGCGAAAGCGUGGGGAGCAAACAGG
rnacentral:rRNA from 1 species